rnacentral:rRNA from 1 species
UAAGCCUACGGGGCGCAGCAGUGGGGGAUAUUGCACAAUGGGGGAAACCCUGAUGCAGCGACGCCGCGUGAGUGAAGAAGUCAUUCGUGAUGUAAAGCUCUAUCAGCAGGGAAGAAAAUGACGGUACCUGAGUAAGAAGCCCCGGCUAAAUACGUGCCAGCAGCCGCGGUAAUACGUAUGGAGCAAGCGUUAUCCGGAUUUACUGGGUGUAAAGGGAGCGCAGGCGGUCUGGCAAGUCUGAUGUGAAAUACCGGGGCUCAACUCCGGGACUGCAUUGGAAACUGUCAGACUGUAGUGUCG